GAGAUCUUUUUGCUGAUCCUUUCUUCCCUUCCAAAAAAAACCCUGAACAAUUUAUCUUGUUAGCACAUGGUUUGGUAGGAUAAAGUGCCUACAUUAGUAAUUUUGCAUACCAAAUAGCAUUAGCUGGACUAAUUGCAACCUGCCAGCAAAAGAUAAGUGUCUGGCUGCCCAAUUGUUGAUCCUUGCUGCUACCCUAUCAAGCAAUGGUAUACAAUCUUUCUCUGUGAGUCUUCUAGUUACCAAUGGAAGGAUCUGUUUCCAAAAGUACCCUAAGAAAAAAAAAAACCUUUCUUCUCCCAGCCAUGUCCAGUUAAGAAGAUGUGAAAUCACCUUUCUCUUUAUAUGAACUAUGCAUUUCGAGGUAUGAAGUAGGAAUGAGGUGAUUUCAUAAUUGGGGUUUUGAAUAAGACGACCUUUUCAUUUUUCAUUUUUUUUUUUUUCAUAUUGAAAAAAUAAUAAGAAUGAGAGGUGUUAAGCUUUUUAUCAUCCUGGCGUCGAGCUAUUUUUCCGCAGGACCUCCCCUACAGUAUCGUCACCGCAGUAGAGUUUAACCACCAAGUUCGGGAGGGAUCCAAGAUACCUAAUUGGUACUGACCCAAUCUUGAACCUUACAGCUUGCUGAAUUAAGGAUAGCUCUUCCCUACUAACCCUUAAAUGAUAAACCUGACUCUUUCCACAAUUCAAUUGCAAAUCAUACAGUGUAAAAAGCCUCAAAUACCACUUUUAUUCUUGCCGCUAAAUCCAAGGUUCCUUUUGUGUGGAUUAAUAAGUCAUCAGCAAAGCAAAGAUGGGUUAAUUUAAUCCUUUUGUAUUUUAGGUGAUAAGAAAAAGCACCAGUUUGUAACUGCAUUAUCCAAGAGUCUAGACAAGACAUUAAUAGCCAAGUCAAACAAGGGAAAAGUGGGUCUCCUUGCCUUUUUUCGCUUUCACCUUUGAUAUAGCCGACCAACUUGCCAUUAAGAGAAAUAGAAAAUAAAGAAGUAGUGAUGCAACUUCUUAUCCACCCCAUAAACUAAUUUGG
rnacentral:lncRNA from 1 species